UACGUAGGGGGCAAGCGUUGUCCGGAAUCAUUGGGCGUAAAGAGCGCGUAGGCGGCCCUGUAAGUCCGCUGUGAAAGUCAAGGGCUCAACCCUUGAAUGCCGGUGGAUACUGCAGGGCUAGAGUCCGGAAGAGGCGAGUGGAAUUCCUGGUGUAGCGGUGAAAUGCGCAGAUAUCAGGAGGAACACCGAUGGCGAAGGCAGCUCGCUGGGACGGUACUGACGCUGAGGAGCGAGAGCGUGGGGAGCGAACAGG
rnacentral:rRNA from 1 species